rnacentral:misc_RNA from 1 species
AAAAAAAAAGAAAAAAAAAAUCAAUUUUGAGGUAUCUUAUUGUCUAAGUUUUCAUCAGAAAAUUAUUUAAGUUGUUUUCCCAAUAGUAGUUGAGAUGGAAAAUAAACUAAACUUUUGGUAAAAAAAGACUUGUGCUUUGUCUUUGACUAACUCUUUUGCUAUUCCCUUCUUUCUCUUUAUCUCUCUGUUUGUAGGAAUUAACGUGGGCUUUUAUUG